ACGGUAGCAGACAACUGACCAGUCGGCGGGGAGGGGGGAAAGGAGUAGUAUUAGUAGUAGUAGUAGUGGUAAGAGGAGGAGGUGUAGUGGUGAUAGUAGGAGUAGUGUGGAUAAGUCUAGGUGUAAGGUAUUGCCCUUGUUACUGAAAUAAUGCUCACGCCACAAGCCGUACGGCAAGCUUCGGUUACAUCAACGUCCUCCCCUCUUUGAAUGUCGGCAGCUGCUGCUUUUGACUUCACUUUGCAACACACACACACACACAGAUAGGGCCCCCCCGCCCAUUUUACCCCUCUCCCUCUUAUCCCCCCUACCCCACCCCACCUCACCACCCCGCGCCCCCUCACCCAGAUUCGCAACCUCCAGACCCCGGGCGAAUGUCGUACUCAUCCCCGGAUGCUCCAGGGCCAACGCAACGGUGUUCACAAUGAUAACCGCAAUCAUUAAAUUGUUGAACCACGUGCUGUACGACAAGUCCCAGAAUCUGUACGGCAACACCAGGGGCGAAACACCGGGUAGGUGGAGCCUUUCAAACGUCCGGGUGGAGUUGGUUCUUCCGAGUGCUUCGUUCGGGACGGGGGUUGGGUUGGGGGUGGGUUGUUUGGGAGGGGGGUGGGUUGGGGGGUGGGUUUGGCGCCAGAGGGGGACGUAAAGCCCUCCAGGGGGGUCCUUCUGGAGGGGGGGUAGCUGAUGCUGCUCUAGUUAAGGCCGGGGGAUACCCCCUUAUUCGCCCACCACCCACCACCCACCACCCACCCAUACAAGUCUGUGUGUAUAUAUAUACGUAUUUCGGAGUCUGACAUCUGUGCCGGCGAGCUUCCCUCCUUUCCCAGCCGGGCCGUUUUCCUCCCCCCCUUCCCCCCCCAUCACCGCCCGCCUUCAGGGUCCGCAGCGGCCACACGGCCCGCCUUAACUCAGAGACGGUGUUGGACACCAUCACACCGUUUUCCCGGGGCCUUAGGGUUCUAGGGUUCAGAUAUGCUUCUGUUCUAGCCCUCCGCUCCGGCCACUUUCCCACCCCCCACCCUCCCCCCACCCCCAUUUCCUCGGGGCUCUCCACCCACGUACGACACCCACGUGACUCUCCACCGCGGCAAGUCCUUCCGCCGUAACGGCUGCAAGUAACGCUUACGGAACCGGAACCAGAUCCGCCGCAAGCGACGGCGAAUACGAGUCAGCCGCAGCCGCAGUAGCGGCGGCGGAGGAGGAGGCGGCGGUUGCCGCCGCCGCCCCGCUGGCGACGAGGGGUUCAUCGGCUCGCUCUCGCCGUUGUCGUACCCGUACGGCAGCGCGGCAGCGCCGUCAACAAUCCUUCCCUCCCCCAGCUCUGCAUCAUCGCGUUGCCCGUUCCCCUCCACCACCUCGUCGGGUAAAUCCAGGGGGUUACUCACGUGCCGCCCCCGCCUCUGGCGCUUCUCCUUUUUUGGAAUCUGCG
rnacentral:lncRNA from 1 species